AGGACGAACGCCGGCGGCGCGCUUAACACAUGCAAGUCGAGCGAGAACCAGUCCUUCGGGACUGGGGACAGCGGCGAACGGGUGAGUAACACGUGGGUAAUCUGCCCUUGACAUCGGGAUAGCCCGGGGAAACUCGGAUUAAUACCGAAUAGCCUCCGAAGCCUUCGGGCGUCGGAGAAAAGGUAGCUUCGGCCUCUGGUCAAGGAUGAGCCCGCGGCGGAUUAGCUUGUUGGCGGGGUAAUGGCCCACCAAGGCGACGAUCCGUAGCUGGUCUGAGAGGACGAUCAGCCACACUGGGACUGAGACACGGCCCAGACUCCUACGGGAGGCAGCAGUGGGGAAUCUUGCGCAAAUGCGGGAAACCGUGACGCAGCGACGCCGCGUGGGGGAAGAAGGCCUUCGGGUUGUAAACCUCUUUCAGGAGGGACGAAGCUACUCGGGUUAAUAGCCCAGAGGGUGACGGUACCUUCAGAAGAAGCCCCGGCUAACUACGUGCCAGCAGCCGCGGUAAUACGUAGGGGGCAAGCGUUGUCCGGAUUUAUUGGGCGUAAAGAGCGUGUAGGCGGCUUGACAGGUCUGCUGUGAAAACUCGAGGCUCAACCUCGAGAUGUCGGCGGAAACCGUCUGGCUAGAGUCCGGAAGAGGAGAGUGGAAUUCCUGGUGUAGCGGUGAAAUGCGCAGAUAUCAGGAAGAACACCUAUGGCGAAGGCAGCUCUCUGGGACGGUACUGACGCUGAGACGCGAAAGCGUGGGGAGCGAACAGGAUUAGAUACCCUGGUAGUCCACGCCGUAAACGAUGGGUGCUAGGUGUGGGGGGUGUCGACUCCCUCCGUGCCGAAGCUAACGCAUUAAGCACCCCGCCUGGGGAGUACGGCCGCAAGGCUAAAAC
rnacentral:rRNA from 1 species